rnacentral:lncRNA from 1 species
UGGCCCAAGAUAGGAUAUUCUUCUUUGUGUGCUUUCCACCAGGCUAGUAUGUCAAAAGUAUGCUGAUUAUUUUUACCAAUCUUUAAUAUUGGAUCUGUCAAAUAUUUUUCUAAGUCACUUGUGUCAAUAGAAUCAUCAUGGCCUUGUCCAUCAAAUAUGUAGCUAUCAAGCUCUUCAUCGAUACUUGACUUAAUCAUGUCACCCGUUGAAGUUGGGUAAGGUGCAACAGAUGAUGUUGAGGGUGUAGUAGAGACAUAGCAUUGAUACAUCUUUUUCAUGACACCAUUAAAUUUAUCCAGCUCAGUUUGAUAGGUAUAUGGGUACACCUUCUUCAAGUAAAAUUCUACAAUUUUCCUCUUGUAUCUAGG